UUGUGCAAUUGAUGUAAGAGCAGGACACGGUGAAGAAGGCAAAACGGCAGAAAGCAGAUACCAGCGAUCGUUGCCAAAGCCCUGUUGCCUGUGGAAAAUGUGAUGUUCAACUUUCAUGUGCUGCUGCAGUUCAUAUGAUGAAGGUACUCCCACAAUGCGGUCAUUUGAGAAGUCACAGAUCAUUCAUCUAGCGAUACUGAAGAGCUGAUGGUGAUAUUACAAGUGGACUUUCAGGUGGGGAAACUCAAUAAUUGUAACACCAAACUCUGACAGAAUUACUCAAUUCAUCAACAUCUGGAUAUUCGUAUUGUAUUUCCACAAUUUUACUUCUGCACUGUUCUUAACCUUUUGAUCCCUCUGAAAGACUGAGUUACAAUGCCUGCCCUUGCUCCCUGGCUCUCCCACCUCUCUUUCAGCAGUUGUGUGCAAAUACUGACUGGAUCCCUUACCUGGAGGAUAUUUAUUUGAAUUUGUUCUAAUGAUGAUCCAGCAUAUUUCCCAAGUGUCGCUCCAUAAAUGUCCAGAGGAUUUCUCGAUUUCACAAUCUGUGGUUGUUCUUCUGGUUCCUCACUCGCUGCACUUGCUUUCUGUUUGAAAGCUUAGUCUGCAAUUGGAGAAUUCAAACAGGUCCACAUCCAGCUCUGACAGUCACUUUGCUUAUCACAGCCCAGUUAUCUCAGGAUUUUGAACAUUGGAGGAAAAAGCAGCAUUCACACUGGGGAGAAAUGCAUAUGGUCUGUAAAGAGUCUGUGAAGAUUCAUCUGAAAUGUCCGAACACCAGCGCAGUGACACUGGGGAGAGACUGGAAAUGUGCAGAUUGCAGGAACGAAUUUUUUAAUCCAUCCCAGCUAGAAACUGACCACCAGAGUCACACUGGAGAGAAACCAUUCACCUGCUCUGAUUGUGGAAUGGGAUUCACUCAGUCCUCCAGCCUGCUUAAACACCAGUGAGUUCGCACUGUAGAGAAACCAUUUACAUGCCUGAAAUGUGGCAAAGCAUUCACUCAGUCAUCUCAACCACUGAUGCAUGAGCAAAUUCACACUGGAGAGAGACCGUUGGCCUGUUCUGCGUGAGGGAAAAGCUUUGCUGACUCGAAUUGCCCGCUGAUCCACCAGUGACUUCACUCUGGGGAGUGACCAUUCUUCUGCUCCCAGUGUGGGAAGGGAUUCACUUGCUCACCUAACCUACAGAGUGUUCACACUGGGGAGAAACCAUUCACCUGCUCUAAAUGUGAGAAAGCAUUCAUUUGGUCAUCCUACCUGCCUGUGUUCCAGCAGGUUCACACUGGGGAGAGCCCAUUCAUGUGGUCUGAGUGGGGAAAGCAUUCACUCAGUUAUCCAAACUGUUAACACACCAGUGAGUUCACAAAGAAGCACAUUUGAUGGAUUUUGCUGUCACUCUCACUAUCAAGUGAACCAUGGUUUUGGGCUGUUUGUACUGGUGUUACUGAUCCCUGCUCAAUUAAAGGUACAGGUAUUGUGGAUAAAAUGUUAAUAUCAGUUGUGUAUCUGUCAGGUAGAGUUUGGGAAUAGUCACGUUAUCACGACACAUUGACACAGUCUCACUGACUAAAGACUAGCCGCCCGCACAGUAUGUGAAAAGGGAUUUCCUGGUUCAUCGGGACUGGUUAACGAGCAGCAAAUUUCUGAGUAACUGUGAAGUUGGUUUUUGAUUCUCCUGUUAGCUAUAUCCAAACCAUGCUUUUUGGGCUUGCUUCUGGAGAUCAUAGAAUCCCUCCAGUCUGGAGGCAGACCAUUUAGCCCAUCGAGUUCACACUGAAAUUACAAAGAGUGUCCUACCCAGACCUUGCCUGCGUGGGUUUCCUCCAGGUGCUCUAGUUUCUUCCCAUAGUCCAAAAAUGUGCAAAUUCGGUAGAAUGACAAUGCUAAAUUGCCCAUAGUGUCUUGUGUGCAAAAUGCAGGGUAGCGUGUGAGACUGGGUGAGAUGUUGUUUGGAGGGUUGGUAAUGGACUGAAUGGCCAUCUUCCACAGUGUAGGGAUUCUAUGUUGAUCUUAAUGGCCCUUUAUUUGUUGUGCCCGGUCAAUAUGUUUGCACACCUUUUACAAUUAUGGAUUCUAUUGCUCUCCACAGACUAGUUUCAACUACUAAUAGAUAUUUGUUUAUUGGAAACAAUCAAAGGAAAGUUUUAAAUCGGAACAAAAGAUUGGGAUGAGUCAUGUUCAAUAUUCCUGAUAGCCGAUUGCAAAAAUGCAAUGAAACCUGGUGACCUGUCCAUGGGGAAUGCAGUCUCUUCAGAUCUUUACCAGGUGUCCAUAGCAGUGACGGAUCUCGCGAUGAAUACAAAAAACAAGACAUGGUGUGAUAUCUGGUGUAUAUUUUCUAUUUAGUCUGCUGUCCAUUACUCCACAUGUCAAGUUUGUUUUCGGAGACCCUCACGGACUUGCUGCAAUCACAAGACACUGACCUGUUUAGAAAAACACAAAUCCUUUUAUUACCAAGCAAGUACAAGCUGUGGAGCAUUACUGUACUCAACCCGGCACAGAGUGCAGAGUCUCGCAAGUAAUUCUCCCCGAGCAGCAGAGAGUGCCCGCUUAUUAUACUUUACAAAAGAUAUGAUACUUAAAAAGAUUUCACAAUUUAUAAUGGCAAGGUGCAUAAAACAAUUACUACAACAGACAAAAAUAGGAUACGAAGCAAUUAUUACAUCAAGAACAUAAAAGACCAGCUUAUAGUAUCGAUUGCUAGUGAAGUAGCUGCUAAUGGCAGGAGGCGAUUUUUGAAUUGUUGUCCAAGAUUGAUUGUGAUUUCAAGUUGCUAGUGUGUCUGGCUAGAAGAAAGUCAGUGCCCUGGCCCCUUUGCCAGCGACAGAAGUGACAUGCUUUAGAAGUUUCACACCCUUACAAAUUUUCCCCACCUAACCCUAUUUGAAACAACAGUUUGAUUCUAAUUUCAAUUCAGUCAGGAAGCUUAAGACAGUGUCUGCAUACCGAUGUGUGAGAAGAAAAGGAGUUACAAAAGCUUUACACACCGAAUUCCUGGCUGGGCAGGAAGCUUCAGGGUAGUGUCUGC